rnacentral:rRNA from 1 species
CGAGCUGACGGAGCACGCCGCGUGAGGGAUGAAGGCCUUUGGGCUGUAAACCUCUUUUCUCAAGGAAGAAGACCUGACGGUACUUGAGGAAUAAGCCACGGCUAAUUCCGUGCCAGCAGCCGCGGUAAUACGGGAGUGGCAAGCGUUAUCCGGAAUUAUUGGGCGUAAAGCGUCCGCAGGCGGCCGUUUAAGUCUGUUGUUAAAUCGUGGAGCUCAACUCCAUCACGGCAAUGGAAACUGUUCGGCUUGAGUAUGGUAGGGGCAGAGGGAAUUUCCGGUGUAGCGGUGAAAUGCGUACAUAUCGGGAAGAACACCAGUGGCGAAAGCGCUCUGCUGGACCAUUACUGACGCUCAUGGACGAAAGCCAGGGGAGCGAAAGGGAUUAGAUACCCCUGUAGUCCUGGCCGUAAACGAUGAACACUAGAUGUUGGGGGAAUCGACCCCCUCGGUGUCGUAGCUAACGCGUUAAGUGUUCCGCCUGGGGAGUACGCACGCAAGUGUGAAACUC